rnacentral:rRNA from 1 species
GUCGAGCGAUGAGGCACCUUCGGGUGUGAAUUAGCGGCGAACGGGUGAGGAACACGUGAGAAAUCUGCCUUCAACACUGGGAUAACUCCGGGAAACCGGGGCUAAUACCGGAUAUGAAACCUGCGGGCAUCCGCGGGUUUGGAAAGUUUUUCGGUUGAAGAUGAUCUCGCGGCCUAUCAGCUUGUUGGUGAGGUAAUGGCUCACCAAGGCGACGACGGGUAGCCGGCCUGAGAGGGCGACCGGCCACACUGGGACUGAGACACGGCCCAGACUCCUACGGGAGGCAGCAGUGGGGAAUAUUGGGCAAUGGAGGAAACUCUGACCCAGCGACGCCGCGUGCGGGAUGAAGGCCUUCGGGUUGUAAACCGCUUUCAGCAGGGAAGAAGCGAAAGUGACGGUACCUGCAGAAGAAGCACCGGCUAACUAUGUGCCAGCAGCCGCGGUAAUACAUAGGGUGCAAGCGUUGUCCGGAAUUAUUGGGCGUAAAGAGCUCGUAGGUGGUUCGUCACGUCGGAUGUGAAACUCUGGGGCUUAACCCCAGACCUGCAUUCGAUACGGGCGAGCUUGAGUAUGGUAGGGGAGUCUGGAAUUCCUGGUGUAGCGGUGGAAUGCGCAGAUAUCAGGAGGAACACCAAUGGCGAAGGCAGGACUCUGGGCCAUUACUGACACUGAGGAGCGAAAGCGUGGGGAGCGAACAGGAUUAGAUACCCUGGUAGUCCACGCCCUAAACGUUGAUUACUCGCUGUCGGC